UUAGGAAAAGCCCAUGGGGCCUUGGUAUCAACCCACCAGGCCUUUGUAGGAGAGGUCCACUCAGCCUCAUCUGUGGCGCUGACCACGCCCAAGUGGUCGCAGGUGCAUUCGAGAGCGUGUGAUAUUUGGUCUGGGGUCCAGGACAGGCUCGCUCUCUCUUGCUUUCGGUCGGAGGGCAGCCGGUGUUGAUCCUUGGAGCAGGGACUUGCAGCGGUCAUCUGCAUCGCGUGUAAGCGAUUUCUCCCCGAAUAAACCUGUUUACUAUACUGAGUCUCGUGGCCUGGGGUUGUGUGUCUCCCUCCCCCUGUCGCCCAACUAGCCCUGAAGACCGCUUGUACCGGGGUUUAGUUGCGACCGCGCUCGGUCCCCAUGGAGCGGUGGCUUCACCACUUAUCCCAGCCGUCACUGCGGCUUAACCGCUCGGCCCGCGCAGUCCCACUGUGUGUAUCUGCUGUGGUGAUCGCUCAGUUCCCCGCACUUCCAGCUCUGCAGGUCCCUGCUAUUUGCGUUUCCUCCUCCUUUUUAAAACAAAAUCCCACCUGUUCUAAACUUGUUUGAGAGCCAUUUAGAAUUCACAGAAUCAAUUUGGGACCAGGGGACCAUCCCGGCAGCUGGACUCUGCUUGGCGGUACACACAUGCCUCCUGCUGGUCAAACAUAGUUACUGCAAGUUGAGAUCUACAAUUGAAAGAGAACACCACAGUUCCGAGGCUAGGAUAUUAGUGAAGGGACAGGAGAGAUGACUCAGAAAUAAGGAUCACUUGCUGCUCUUCCAGAGGACCCGAGUUUGAUUUCCAGCACCCAUGAUGGGCGACCUACAACACCAGCUCCAAGAGAUCCAAUACCCUUCUCUGGCUUCUGAAGGCACCCCCACACAUGUGCAUGCAAUUUCAGGUCCACAGAGGGACAGAAGCCCACUAGAGGAACAAACACAUGCAUUAAUAUUGAGAGCUCUUUCAUGCUUUAAACAAUUUUUCGAAGGAUGCUUUUAAAAAAUAAACGUAAUGAUGCUAAACUCUGAUAUUUGUAAAGGUCA
rnacentral:lncRNA from 1 species